rnacentral:tRNA from 1 species
GCUUUUGUAGUAAAAAAAUAACAGGGGUUUUUCAAGCCUCCAUUCCUGGUUAAAGUCCUGGCAAGAGUU